AAUAUCAAGUUGUUAGCAUUAAAGAAAACCCAAUCCAGAGAGCUGGGGAUGUAACAUUCAAGGGACCUUCUCUCUCCUUCACUCUUCCUGAUUUUUUCUUCCCAAUCUUUCUCUCUCUCUCUCUCCCUUUUUUUGUCCUCUUUCUGUCCAUCCUCUUUCCUUUAUUCUCCACCACCUCUCAGGGCAGCAUAAUCUGAUCCUUUUCAGAUUCCCUUGUGCCAAAGAUCUGAUUUGAUCUCUUGGAGGCAGCUUCUGAAUUCCUUGUGGUUUGAACUGGAAACGAGUUCAAAGGAGGCCCAGAGCUUUGAAGUGCUCAGGAUCAUCCCACCAGUCCUUUUAAUUGACGACUGCCAGACAUCUAUCGCCGGUUUUAAUGCACAGACUGGACCUGAGAUAGGCAGAGAGCAGGGAAGAUGACUCUGCUCCAGAAAGCACCUCCUCCCCUUGGCACAGGGCAGAAUACACAAGUAAAGUUAACAUGGCUAACCUGAGGUCCUGGAACACAGCUUCAGCCUGGUUAAAGGCCCAGCAUACUGUAGUCUGAGCCCCAAUUGAUACAGCUUCUUAAUGCACCCAGAAACCAUCUCCCAGCUAGUCCUGGUCCCUCUUGCAACCUCCAGAUAUGGAAAACUUCAGAAUGGCUGCAUCUGAAGGCCAGUUGGAACCAAAGGACUUACUACUUGUAAUCUUUCAGAGUGGACAGGACAGUGUACUGCAUGGGAGUUGUCUUAAAGUGUUGAAUUGCUGGCACUUCCUGACAGACUUUUGGAACAAGGGUUACAUGUCAGCUGUUUGUGCAAACCGUGAACACCUCACUGGAUGGAAGGAGUACCAAAAUACAUUAUUAUUAGGGGAUUAUGAUGGGAAAUUAGUUUGUAGUAGAGCAGGAGAGUAAACAGCUACUUUUUGAGGAUGAGGAGGAGGAUGUGCACACAAGUAUGCCAUCCUUUCAUUCUUUGACCUGCCUGGAUAAACAGAGGUAGGAGCACACAUUUAAACCAUCUACAGUGUUGAGAUUCAUAUUAAGAUCUUGAAUGCAGAAGAACCCAUUGCAGCUCUGAGAUAAAUUCUAAGACUGGAAUUCUGAUUUUUGCCUUCUUUCCCUGAUCAUUUCCAUCCUCUCUGCUCCCCCCAAACCUCCGAAGAGCUGACAACCAUUCCUGUCAUGUCUCUGUCUGCAAGGUGGUCAUUUCACACUAAGCCACUCUGCUUUUAUCUCUCUAUUUCCAUCAGUGAGGAAUCAGAACUGGGUCUGUUAGACUGACAUCUGAUAAAAGCCAAGCUUUGUGGCUGAUGGGGGAGGGCUCUUUGCUGUCAGUGGUGCCAUCUGAUUCCCCUCUACCACCCGUUCUCUCCCAUGCUGUUACCUUACUGUGCCCUGGGAGCUACUUAUGCAACCCGGGACAAAGAAGGAUCUUAUUUGUUUGCUGCCAGCACUGAAAUGGCUCUGACAGGUCUAGGCACUGCAGCAGUGUAUGUUCAAGGUGCAGUGCAGUGCAGUGCAGCUCACUUGAAGAGAGACUGUAAUGUCAGACUCUGAAAUCACUGAAACUCAGAGUAAGGCUCUCCAUCUCUUGCAGGUCUGAGGAGAUUCUGUGAAAGAGAGAUAUAUGAUAAGAAAAUAAUUUGGGGAAUGCAAGCAAUGCCCCACCCCACACUGCUAAGAGUGAGUGCGUGCUGGAUCUGCAGAAAGGAAUAAACCUGCCUUGUGAACUGGUCUCAUUGUUACUGUUUAAUGCUGCUGGAGCAUGCCGGCAAAAUCAUCAUGAAUGUUUACUAGCCUAGGCACAAAGUCUACUUGCCUGCUUUUACCAUGUUGUUGCUGAAAAUCUAAUGAUAAGUUAAUUGCCCAUCAGAUAAAAUCAGUUGUGCCUCAAACGAAUGUGGUAAGUAGAGUUUUUCCAGGCUGUAGAAUUAGAAACCAUUUCAUCAUGGGUGGUCAGCAUGCGUGCUGCUGUUCUAUGGAUACCAGAAUUGUUUUAUGCCCCAUUCCCGGAAGAGUCCAGGAAACUAAUCUGAAGAACUGAAAAGUACUUGAAGUAUUGAUUUAUUCUCCCCUCUGAUAGUGGAAAAGAGCAGGAGAUUAUGCUCUACUUGUUUGUAAAGACUUGUGAAAAUAAAUUGUUUGAACAAACUGAUGCAUGGUAUGGUGGGAAUCGCUCCCAGUGAAACUCUCUUUGCAGUGCAGUAGAAUGAAAAGUCCCAAAUUCCUCACUGUGUCACAGCUUUCCAAUUUCAGUUCUGGUCAUAGUGAAAUGCUACUUAGAGAGAGAGUGUUCAGGGAGAAAAAAAUUAUUUCCCUUGAGAGGGGAUCCUGCUGUGUGUGUUUCGCUGGGCUCCCUGCAAAGCUAUUCAAGCUCCACAGCCCAAGUGGUUUGAGCAUUGGCCUGCUAACCCCAGGAUUGUGAGCUCAAUCCUUAGCCAUUUAGGGAUCUGGGACAAAAAUUGGUCUGGGGAUUGGUCCUGCUUUGAGCAGGGGGUUGGACUAGAUGACCUCCUGAGGUCCCUUCCAACCCUGAUAUUCUAUGAUAGGCUAACAUAAGAUUUUGAAUGUGACCUUCUCCUCCAUCCCUGCCCCAUCUCUAUCUCAAAUUGUUCUCCCAUACCUGCUGGGGUGGGGAUAGGGAAUGUAUCAGGAAUGGUAUAUGUGUGUUUGAGGAGGGACCUAACGGAAGAGCAGAUGGAAAUAUACUGUUUAA